rnacentral:rRNA from 1 species
AAUGAACGUUGGCGGCGUGGAUUAGGCAUGCAAGUCGAGCGAGAACCGUAGCAAUACGGGGACAGCGGCGAAAGGGACAGUAAUGUGUAGGUACCUACCCCCGGGUUCGGGAUAGCUGCGGGAAACUGCAGGUAAUACCGAAUAAUGUCUUCGGACCAAAGGUGUGAUUCCACCUGGGGAGGGGCCUGCAUCCUAUUAGCUUGUUGGUGGGGUAACGGCUUACCAAGGCGACGAUGGGUAGCGGGUGUGAGAGCAUGACCCGCGUCAUUGGGACUGAGACACUGCCCAGACACCUACGGGUGGCUGCAGGCGAGGCUCUUCGGCAAUGGGCGCAAGCCUCACCGAGCGACGCCGCGUGCGGGAUGAAGGCCUUCGGGUUGUAAACCGCUGUCGUAGAGGAGGAAAUGCAGGAGGGUUCUCCCUUCUGUUUGACCUAUUCUAGGAGGAAGUACGGGCUAAGUUCGUGCCAGCCGCCGCCGUAA